GUGGAAUUUAAUUGAAACUGAAAGCACACACUGAGAAGCACUGUACACGUUGGUGGGCGUAAAGUUUGAGGGUUAGUUUUCAUAUUGUGUAAAAACUACUUGAACAAGAUGAAGAAUGGGCUACUAUCCCUGAGGUGUGCUGUGUGCCAAAACGCUGAACUGCAACUUCUUUUGUCCUUGGCCUGGGAUAUGAUGUGGGACUUAUUGUUCAGGAACAAUGGAGCCCAGCAGUCCUCAUCUGAUGGAUAUUCACCCUGAAACAUCGAUAGAGCCUAUACACAGCCACAAAAUGUGAAGAGGCUGCUUUUUAGUCACAAAGUAUGUGUGAUACUCUAAUCGUUUUUUAGGACAUACAUUUAUUUUAAUAUGAUUUAUCUUUCUAUAUUUGUAUAUUUAAUGUUCUUUCACUCUGCCAUUAACGUACUGCUUACGUACAUUUAACUGUUCAACUGAAGUACUUAAACAGAAUGAAUUUGACAAUUACAACUAAUUGUGUCCUUAACUACAUGUCAUAUUUCGCCAUUAAUAUUAAAUGUCAUUGUAUUAUUA